UACCGAUCGAAUCGUAACGCUCGUCCUCUGUUUUUUCUCAGUGUUGAUUGGAUCCCUCCUCUCCUUCCUCAUUCCACAUCGCAGGUGCGUCCGUUCUCGACGGCCGUUUCCGCCGGCUAUGCAUGCCACCGGCUGCCGUCGACGUGCACCUCCGACCGCCUCCCGUAUCGGAUCUACAGCUGUGCCGCCGGAUCUCCGCCUCCCCCGCUGCCCCACGAGCUCCUGCUCCACGAGGCGCCAACGUUCUGGAGGAGUACGCCGUGAGGGCCGAGGCGGGCGCCGAGGACGCUGGCGGUGGCGCCCAGCCGGCCUCGUCGUCUGGCGCCAUGUUUGAUGGGAUCCUUGGGGCUCGCCUCGAGCUGGAAUUGGAGCGUGUGGUAGUUUUAGCUGGAUAAUACUCUGAGUGGUGUGCAAGCUCAAUGGGAACAUCCAACAAGAAGCCAUCACUUAAUCUGUUCGUUCAGGUAGGAGAUGAGAAGAUGUUCAGGCCCGUGAAGUUGCAGAGACUUGGGUGAAAGUUUAGGACGAUGGAGGAGACGCGUCGAGUCCUGUAUGUGUGCAGGCAUACCGAGCUGAGAUUGACCAUGCUGUCGGAUUGGGCCAGAAAAUAGGCAAGAUUGUUAUCAUAUUACUUUCAUUUUUACAAAUGCACCUACAAAACACAACGAGUUAAUUUUUUUUAAGCAUCGUAUGCUUACUUAUGAAGACUUUUUGACUUGAAAAACAAGUUAUUG